AAUCAACGCUGGCGGCGUGCCUAACACAUGCAAGUCGAACGCGAAAGGGACUUCGGUCCUGAGUAGAGUGGCGAACGGGUGAGUAACGCGUGGGUGACCUACCCUCGAGUGGGGAGUAACGUUCCGAAGGGACGCUAAUACCGCAUGACAUUCCGGGUUUGGUAAGACCUGGAAAUACAAAGACCGGGGACCGGCAAGGCCUGGCGCUAGAGGAGGGGCCCGGCGUCUGAUUAGCUAGUUGGCGGGGUAAGUGGCCCACCAAGGCGACGAUCAGUAGCCGGCCUGAGAGGGCGGACGGCCACACUGGGACUGAGACACGGCCCAGACUCCUACGGGAGGCAGCAGUGGGGAAUUGUUCGCAAUGGGCGAAAGCCUGACGACGCAACGCCGCGUGGAGGAUGAAGGUCUUCGGAUUGUAAACUCCUGUU
rnacentral:rRNA from 1 species